rnacentral:rRNA from 1 species
GCCCUUUUCCGGUUGAUCCUGCCGGAGGCUACCGCUAUCGGGAUUCGAUUUAGCCAUGCGAGCCGAGGGUGCUUCGCGCACCCGGCAGACUGCUCAGUAACACGUAGUCAACCUACCCUCAGGACGAGGAUAACCCCGGGAAACUGGGACUAAUCCUCGAUAGGAAAGGGAUACUGGAAUGUUCCCUUUCCGAAACGUUCCGACGCCUGAGGAUGGGACUGCGGUGGAUUAGGUCGUUGGGGGUGUAACGGACCUCCAAGCCUAUAAUCCAUACGGGCGUUGAGAGACGGAGCCCGGAGACGGACUCUGAGACACGAGUCCGGGCCCUACGGGGCGCAGCAGGCACGGAACUUUUACAAUGCGUGAAAGCGCGAUAAAGGAAUCUCGAGCGUCCUGGCAUUGCCAGGGCUUUUCUUGAGUGUAAAAAGCUCUUGGAAUAAGGGGUGGGAAAAACGGGUGCCAGCCGCCGCGGUAAUACCCGUGCCCCAAGUGGUAGUCACGAUUAUUGGGCCUAAAGCGUCCGUAGCCGGCCUGAUGGGUCCUCAGUGAAAUCCUGCGUUAAAGCGUAGGGUGGCUGGGGAAACUAUCAGGCUUGGGACCGGGAGAGGCCGAGCUACUCCUGGAGUAGCGGUAAAAUGCUGUCAUUCCAGGA